GUAGCCACUUUAAAGCAAAAUUCCUUUUCUGAUUUGUUAGAAUUUAAUUGGAGGAGAGAGAGGUUGGGUGGAGCUUAGCGUAUCUCCCACACAAGAUAUACACAUCUUUGACAAAUAUCUUUAUUUUCUUUUUCUGUCUGAUUAUAGUUUCUUUGUUAAUGAUAACAUCUAUUUUAGAAUAGUAGCUUAAGACCUUGUAAAUAUUUUUAAAAAGCAAAAUUUCUGCCAAGAAACAUUACAGUUGCUUUUUGACAUAUUUUUUCAAGAGUUUAGUUUUAGUAGAAUUUGUGAUAGCUUAAAAUAAUCUGCUAUUCUGAUUCACAAGGAAUCUUUCUAAACCCUGAACAAAGAACUGUACUUGAGCAUAGUUCUUAUCAUGAUGUCUUGGUCAGUAUUAAGGAUACAUCAGGAUAUCUUAACCAUAAUGUCCAUUAGUAGAAUUAGCUUUUAUGUUGUAUCAGUGAUAUAUCAGAUUUUUAUUGUAUGUAUAUAGUUAUUAUAAUGCAUUAUUUGAUCUCUAAAAGAUAGAUUUUAAUUACUUUGUUUCAUAGAAAGAUGUCUAUGAUGAAGUAAACUUGCUUUGAUUUACUGUAUUCUAAAUCUUUUAAGUUUUUUUUUCUUUUUAAGAUUGUUUUUCUUCCUUAUUUGAUAUCUUACUUUAAUGCAAUACAGCUAUACUUUUGACAGCUAGCUUGACUCAGUUUAAGGAUUGGUUCUGAAUAUUGGAGAUGGUAUUAGAAAAGGUACUAUUAAUUUUUUUGAGAUUUUUUAAAUUAAUUUCUUCAUUAACAAUUCUUAAAUUAUAGCUUACCUCUUUUUAUAAUUGCUAGUUCUAAAAUAUUGUUACAUCUUGUCUGAAAGAAUUUCUUUUGAAUAAAGAUAUAAAAGCAUAAGCUGUAAGCCAUGUUAAAUUCUCUACAAAUACUUUUUAGGGUAGUGUACUGCUUUGUCAUAGUGAAAAGAAGGAGAUACAGUUAAUUAAUAAAAGUAAUUUUGGUUUGCUUUGGGCA
rnacentral:lncRNA from 1 species